AUGGGGUGCAGCAGGCGAGAAAACUUUGCAAUGUGCGAAAGCACGACAAGGUUAAUCCGAGUGAUUCCUGCUAAAGGAAUCUUUUGUUAGUCAUAAAACCACUAAUGAAUAAGGGGUGGGCAAGUUCUGGUGUCAGCCGCCGCGGUAAAACCAGCACCUCAAGUGGUCAGGAUGAUUAUUGGGCCUAAAGCAUCCGUAGCCGGCUCUGUUAGUUUUCGGUUAAAUCCAUAUGCUCAACAUAUGGGCCGCCGGGAAUACUACAAAGCUAGGGAGUGGGAGAGGUAGACGGUACUCCGUAGGAAGGGGUAAAAUCCUUUGAUCUAUGGAUGACCACCAGUGGCGAAGGCGGUCUACCAGAACACGUUCGACGGUGAGGGGUGAAAGCUGGGGGAGCAAACCGGAUUAGAUACCCGGGUAGUCCCAGCUGUAAACUAUGCAAACUCAGUGAUGCAUUGGCUUGUGGCCAGUGCAGUGCCGCAGAGGAGUCGUUAAGUUUGCCGCCUGGGAAGUACGUACGCAAGUAUGAAACUUAAAGGAAUUGGCGGGGGAGCAC
rnacentral:rRNA from 1 species